rnacentral:rRNA from 1 species
UACGGAGGGUGCAAGCGUUGUUCGGAAUCACUGGGCGUAAAGGGCGUGUAGGCGGCCCGCUAAGUCUGAUGUGAAAGCCCGAGGCUUACCCUCGGAAGUGCAUUGGAGACUGGCGGACUGGAGUCCCGGAGAGGAGGGUGGAAUUCCUGGUGUAGCGGUGAAAUGCGUAGAUAUCAGGAGGAACACCGGUGGCGAAGGCGGCCCUCUGGACGGUGACUGACGCUGAGACGCGAAAGCGUGGGGAGCAAAC